rnacentral:rRNA from 1 species
GAUGAACGCUAGCUACAGGCUUAACACAUGCAAGUCGAGGGGCAGCAUGAACUUAGCUUGCUAAGUUUGAUGGCGACCGGCGCACGGGUGAGUAACACGUAUCCAACCUUCCGUUUACUCAGGGAUAGCCUUUCGAAAGAAAGAUUAAUACCUGAUAGUAUGGUGAGAUUGCAUGAUAACACCAUUAAAGAUUUAUUGGUAAACGAUGGGGAUGCGUUCCAUUAGGUAGUAGGCGGGGUAACGGCCCACCUAGCCUGCGAUGGAUAGGGGUUCUGAGAGGAAGGUCCCCCACAUUGGAACUGAGACACGGUCCAAACUCCUACGGGAGGCAGCAGUGAGGAAUAUUGGUCAAUGGGCGAGAGCCUGACCAGCCAAGUAGCGUGAAGGAUGAAGGUCCUACGGAUUGUAAACUUCUUUUAUACGGGAAUAAAGUUCCUACGUGUAGGAUUUUGUAUGUACCGUAUGAAUAGCAUCGGCUAACUCCGUGCCAGCAGCCGC